rnacentral:rRNA from 1 species
UAAUUGAAGAGUUUGAUCAUGGCUCAGAUUGAACGCUGGCGGCAGGCCUAACACAUGCAAGUCGAGCGGUAACAGGGGAAGCUUGCUUCUCGCUGACGAGCGGCGGACGGGUGAGUAAUGUAUGGGGAUCUGCCCGAUAGAGGGGGAUAACUACUGGAAACGGUAGCUAAUACCGCAUAAUCUCUAAGGAG